rnacentral:rRNA from 1 species
GACGAACGCUGGCGGCGUGCCUAAUACAUGCAAGUCGAACGCAUUUUCUUUCACCGUAGCUUGCUACACCGAAAGAAAAUGGGUGGCGAACGGGGGAGUAACACGUGGGUAACCUGCCAAUCAGCGGGGAAUAACACUAGGAAACAGGUGCUAAUACCCCCUAAUUCCAUUUACCGCAUGGUAUAUGGAUGAUAGACACUUUUACGUCGCUGAUGAAUUAACUCGCGGUGGAUUGGCUCGUUGGGGGGGUAACGGCCUACCAAGGCUGCGAUGCAUAGCCGACCUGAGAGGGGGAGCGGCCACACUGGGACUGGGACAGGGCCCAGACUCAUACGGGAGGCAGCAGUAGGGAAUCUUCGGAAAUGGACACAAGUCUGACCGAGCAACGCCGCGGGAGUGAAGAAGGUUAUCGGAUCGUAAAACUCUGUUGUUAGAGAAGAACAAGUAUGAGAGGGGAAAGUUCAUCCCUUGACGGUAGCUAAACAGAAAGCCACGGCUAACUACGUG